rnacentral:rRNA from 1 species
UACGUAGGUGGCGAGCGUUGUCCGGAUUUAUUGGGCGUAAAGCGCCCGCAGGCGGCUUGAUAAGUUUCAGGUGAAAAUCUCCCGGCUUAACUGGGAGGGGUCCUGGAAAACUGUCAGGCUUGAGGCAGAGAGAGGGAUGUGGAAUUCCCGGUGUAGUAGUGAAAUGCGUAGAUAUCGGGAGGAACACCAGUGGCGAAGGCGGCAUCCUGGCUCUGUCCUGACGCUCAGGGGCGAAAGCGUGGGGAGCAAACCGG